UUUUACACCUCGUCAAUAUUCAAGAAUUAAAAACACGUGAGUCAACUGUGGGUAUUAGAGGUGGAUAUAUAAGAACCACGGUGUUAAUAACUGACGAAUUUGGUAAAUAUUUUGCUGUUUAUUUAUACAUAAAAAAGGUCUGGAAUAAAACUAUCGAGAAACUGAAGAAGGAAUAAGAUGUUGAUGGUAUUAGUGAUAGUAACUUUAUUAGUUUCGUCAUCAUCUUUUCCCCUUUCAUCAGGCAUAAAUGAUCCAGGUGAUUUUGUUUCUCGUCUGGAGGAAAUAUUUAAUAAAGUUAUCAACAGAGCAUUACAAGCAGUACAGAUUGAUUGUAAAAAUACGACAGAGAACAAGACAAUAGACGGUAAACAGGUGACUGUUAACAGUACAAAAUGUGUUGGUACGGGAAACGGUACAGAAAUAUUAUACGAUACACAAUCUGUACUACUUAAUAAUAAUAAUAAUACAACAAGUUCAAAUCAAAACGAGACCACAGCAUCUACAUCUGAAGAGACAGCACAGAAGACAUCUGAAGCAGAAGAGACAACCCAGAUCACAGCAUCGACAUCUGAACCAGAAAAGACUACCCAGACCACAGCAUUGACAUCUGAACCAGAAAAGACAACAGCGACCACAUCAUCUGCAUCUGAACCCGAAAAGACAACACAGACCACAGCAUCUACAGCUGAACCCAAAGAGACAACUAAAAUUAUUGGUGAAUCGAACGAAUCAUAAAUGGCGGAUGUCAGUCGAAAUACGUGGGCGGAAGUUGGAUAUAGGACUAAUACAAAAAUAGCACUGAAUUAUAUAUUUAUUGAAUAAUAACAAAAUGUACAUUCUCAUCGGGUAAUAAAAUAAUUAAUAUUA